GUCAAGACUGUAACUCGGCCAAUCAGGAACAUUCAACCGUCUUCUUGAAGAUGCAGCCACCAUUUGCUUGAAAAAAUGGACAGUGGUUCUCAGUCAUGUGUUGUAUUGGAUUUGCCCCAAACAUAACACUUUGUAUUCAUGACAUUGCUUUGCCACAUUUUUCACAGUAUUAGUGCCUUGUUGGAAUAUUUGUAUUCUGUACAGGCUUCCUUCUUUUCACGCUGUCAAUUAGGUUAGUAUUCUGGAGUAAGCACAAUGUUGUUGAUCACAGCCAUUAAACUUUAUAACUGUUCUAAUGUCAACAUUGGCCUCAUCGUGAAAUCCUUGAGCGGUUUCCUUCCUCUUCGGCAACUGAGUUAGGAAGGAAGCCUGUAUCUUUGUAGUGACUGGGUGUAUUGAUACACCACCCAAAGUGUAAUGAAUAACUUCACCAUUCUCAAAGGGAUAUUCAAUGUCUUCUUUUUUUGUAGCCAUGUACCAAUAGCUUCCCUACUUUGCGAGGCAUUGGAAAAACCUCCCUGGUCGUUGUGGUUGAGUCUUGUAAAAAAUUCACUGCUUGACUGAGGGACCUUACAUAUAAUUGUAUGUGGGGGGUACAGAUAUGAGGUAGUCACUCAAAAAUCAUGUUAAACAGUACUAUUGCACACAGAGUGAGUCCAUGCAACUUAUUAUGUGACUUGUUAAGCAACUUUUUGCUCCUGAAGUUAUUUAGGGUUGCCAUAACAAAUGGCAUAACAAAAUAAUUAUUGACACAAGAGAUUUCUGCUUUUUAUUAGUAAUUAAUUUGUCCCCCAAAAAUGAAAAACGUCAUUCCAAUUUGACAUUAUGGGGUAUUUUGUGGAGGCCAAUGACAAAAAAACGAAAUGUAAUCCAUUUUAAAUUCAGGCUGUAACACAACAAAACUUGGAAAAUGUUUUAGAGCGCUUUCAAUUAUUCCCUAUAUGAUCCGGAUCCUGGAGGGCCUGGUACCCUGAUCCGAACUACAAAGUAUAUGUGAAACGCAACCAGCCCUGGCUGACACAAAUCCUUGGAACUGCUUGAGUAGCGAGUCUAGGACCAGAGUACCAGAUAUUGUGAUGUGGCAGUGUGAUUUGCUUGGAACUUUUUUUCCCAUUGUAAAACAGCUAGCUUGCUAGUGUUAUGUAUGUGCAUUUUGCUAAUCGCACACUGAAACUGUUAUUUUCUGGUCUUGUGAAAGCAAGACGUAUCCUGUAGAAUUAUCACAAAUGUUUCAGGAAACCGAACCAGGGUACUGAAUUUAACAAGUAAAAAAUCCCUUAACAUUCAAACUUUGGCACUUUGGUGUUGAAAACAAUUUCAACAGUUGGACAGUUAUCAAUAUUUUCUGGUGACAUUUCCUGUGCGGACUGCAUGUGGUAGGCCUACAAUAAAGAUGUACAUUAUAUUACAGAAACAUAUUGGAUGAUGGCACUUAAUUUUUUCCAGAC
rnacentral:lncRNA from 1 species